rnacentral:rRNA from 1 species
AGUGAACGCUGGCGGUAGGCCUAACACAUGCAAGUCGAACGGCAGCACAGUAAGAGCUUGCUCUUACGGGUGGCGAGUGGCGGACGGGUGAGGAAUACAUCGGAAUCUACUUUUUCGUGGGGGAUAACGUAGGGAAACUUACGCUAAUACCGCAUACGACCUACGGGUGAAAGCAGGGGAUCUUCGGACCUUGCGCGAUUGAAUGAGCCGCUGUCGGAUUAGCUAGUUGGCGGGGUAAAGGCCCACCAAGGCGACGAUCCGUAGCUGGUCUGAGUGGAUGAUCAGCCACACUGGAACUGGGACACGGUCCAGACUCCUAAGGGAGGGAGCAGUGGGGAAUAUUAGACAAUAGGCGCAAGCCUGAUCCAGCCAUACCGCGUGGGUGAAGAAGGCCUUCGGGUUGUAAAGCCCUUUUGUUGGGAAAGAAAAGCAGCAGGUUAAUACCCCGCUGUUCUGACGGUACCCAAAGAAUAAGCACCGGCUAACUUCGUG